rnacentral:rRNA from 1 species
GAUGAACGCUGGCGGCGUGCUUAACACAUGCAAGUCGAACGAUGAAGCCCAGCUUGCUGGGUGGAUUAGUGGCGAACGGGUGAGUAACACGUGAGUAACCUGCCCUUAACUCUGGGAUAAGCCUGGGAAACUGGGUCUAAUACCGGAUAGGAGCGCCCACCGCAUGGUGGGUGUUGGAAAGAUUUAUCGGUUUUGGAUGGACUCGCGGCCUAUCAGCUUGUUGGUGAGGUAAUGGCUCACCAAGGCGACGACGGGUAGCCGGCCUGAGAGGGUGACCGGCCACACUGGGACUGAGACACGGCCCAGACUCCUACGGGAGGCAGCAGUGGGGAAUAUUGCACAAUGGGCGCAAGCCUGAUGCAGCGACGCCGCGUGAGGGAUGACGGCCUUCGGGUUGUAAACCUCUUUCAGUAGGGAAGAAGCGAAAGUGACGGUACCUGCAGAAGAAGCACCGGCUAACUACGUGCCAGCAGCCGCGGUAAUACGUAGGGUGCGAGCGUUAUCCGGAAUUAUUGGGCGUAAAGAGCUCGUAGGCGGUUUGUCGCGUCUGUCGUGAAAGUCCGGGGCUUAACCCCGGAUCUGCGGUGGGUACGGGCAGACUAGAGUGCAGUAGGGGAGACUGGAAUUCCUGGUGUAGCGGUGGAAUGCGCAGAUAUCAGGAGGAACACCGAUGGCGAAGGCAGGUCUCUGGGCUGUAACUGACGCUGAGGAGCGAAAGCAUGGGGAGCGAACAGGAUUAGAUACCCUGGUAGUCCAUGCCGUAAACGUUGGGCACUAGGUGUGGGGACCAUUCCACGGUUUCCGCGCCGCAGCUAACGCAUUAAGUGCCCCGCC